rnacentral:rRNA from 1 species
UACGUAGGGAGCCAGCGUUGUCCGGAAUUAUUGGGCGUAAAGAGCUCGUAGGCGGUCUGUUGCGUCCGCUGUGAAAACUCGGGGCUUAACCCCGAGCCUGCAGUGGAUACGGGCAGACUAGAGGUAGGUAGGGGAGAAUGGAAUUCCCGGUGUAGCGGUGAAAUGCGCAGAUAUCGGGAGGAACACCAAUGGCGAAGGCAGCUCUCUGGUACGUGACUGACACUGAGACGCGAAAGCGUGGGGAGCGAACAGG